UUGCGGCCAGAUCACGUUGAAACGACCGGUUCUCCUACGACCAGCGAAGUUAAGCAACGUCGAGUCUGGUCAGUACUUAGUUGGGUGACCGUUCAGUAAUAAAUGGUAC